ensembl:lncRNA
AUUUAUGUAUGUUUUGCAUGUGUUUAUAUACAGUUCUUAAAAAAAAAUACUGCCAUAAAAACACUAAAAGAAAACAAAGUUAAAAAUAUUGUUUGUAAAUUUUAUUUAUUGGGCAAAUAAAACACUAAAUUCACUUUUUUAUACGCCAAUUUGAGGCGCCAUACUGGACUUCUCUGAGAGUCAAGCACAACGAUUUUUUAUUUUACGCAAUGCCAGUAAAUAAUAAUAAUAAUAAUAAUAAUAAUAAUAAUGUGCUUUCCUAUUUUUUCUGCUUUUUUGUAAAAGAUUACAUAAAUAAAAUUAAAAAUAUGAGUUUUGACUGACAAGCUUGGACAAACUGGCGUCUCAGUCGUUACAGAAACAUAGAAAAUGUUACAUUACAUGGAGAAACCUUUGGAAUGCAAGCAUGCUGAUCCACACAGGUAUGCACACAUGGGUAUUCACAGACGCGGACUAAAGCUUUCUUGGCUGCUGCCUCAAAGCACACUGUGCGCUGUCUAUCUUGCGUGCUGCACAAUAUCGUUUAUUCUUUAGUAAAUACUGAUAUCUAUGACUAGCUAGUUUAUUGUGAUGGUGCUUUGUUUUCUCCAUUAUUAUGUUGCUCUUUGUUGUUUGCUGUCUCCUCUGUUUGUUUUUGUUUGUUUGUUUGUUUGUUUGUUUUUUUCUCCAUACAGGUGACCCAGGAGUUUUUUUUUGUUUUUUUUUGUCUCUCUUCCCCCCCCUUCUCACCGUCUCUUCUCCCCUUUGGUUUUCUUUCUUUCUCUCCCCCUCUCUCUCUCAUUCAUUCCCCCUGUCCUAUUUAUUUAAAAAAAAAAAAAAAAUGACAAAGGAUGAACUGAAGCUCUGCCAUCACGUAAUGUCGCAUACUGCUGUUUCUGAUGUCAUUUAAAAAAAAAAAAAAAAAAAAAAGAAACAUAGAAAAUGAGUUUGAUAUUUUCAGUACUGUUAAUUUAGGGUAAUUGUGGCAUAAACAUUACACUGGGUGGUGGCCUGAUAGUUUAUCAAGUAUCCAUGUAUGCCUAUAUUGACUGUAUUGAUUAUGUUUUGUUUUAU